rnacentral:rRNA from 1 species
UAGGGAAUCUUCGGCAAUGGGGGCAACCCUGACCGAGCAACGCCGCGUGAGUGAAGAAGGUUUUCGGAUCGUAAAGCUCUGUUGUAAGAGAAGAACGUGUGUGAGAGUGGAAAGUUCACACAGUGACGGUAACUUACCAGAAAGGGACGGCUGACUACGUGCCAGCAGCCGCGGUAAUACGUAGGUCCCGAGCGUUGUCCGGAUUUAUUGGGCGUAAAGCGAGCGCAGGCGGUUUAAUAAGUCUGAAGUUAAAGGCAGUGGCUUAACCAUUGUUCGCUUUGGAAACUGUUAAACUUGAGUGCAGAAGGGGAGAGUGGAAUUCCAUGUGUAGCGGUGAAAUGCGUAGAUAUAUGGAGGAACACCGGUGGCGAAAGCGGCUCUCUGGUCUGUAACUGACGCUGAGGCUCGAAAGCGUGGGGAGCAAACAGG